rnacentral:rRNA from 1 species
AAACCGGGGCCUAAACAUGCAAGUCGAGCGGAUGAAGGGAGCUUGCUCCCUGAUUCAGCGGCGGACGGGUGAGUAAUGCCUAGGAAUCUGCCUGGUAGUGGGGGACAACGUCUCGAAAGGGACGCUAAUACCGCAUACGUCCUACGGGAGAAAGCAGGGGACCUUCGGGCCUUGCGCUAUCAGAUGAGCCUAGGUCGGAUUAGCUAGUUGGUGAGGUAAUGGCUCACCAAGGCGACGAUCCGUAACUGGUCUGAGAGGAUGAUCAGUCACACUGGAACUGAGACACGGUCCAGACUCCUACGGGAGGCAGCAGUGGGGAAUAUUGGACAAUGGGCGAAAGCCUGAUCCAGCCAUGCCGCGUGUGUGAAGAAGGUCUUCGGAUUGUAAAGCACUUUAAGUUGGGAGGAAGGGCAGCUAACUAAUACUUCGCUGUUUUGACGUUACCGACAGAAUAAGCACCGGCUAACUCUGUGCCAGCAGCCGCGGUAAUACAGAGGGUGCAAGCGUUAAUCGGAAUUACUGGGCGUAAAGCGCGCGUAGGUGGUUUGUUAAGUUGAAUGUGAAAUCCCCGGGCUCAACCUGGGAACUGCAUCCAAAACUGGCAAGCUAGAGUAGGGCAGAGGGUGGUGGAAUUUCCUGUGUAGCGGUGAAAUGCGUAGAUAUAGGAAGGAACACCAGUGGCGAAGGCGACCACCUGGGCUCAUACUGACACUGAGGUGCGAAAGCGUGGGGAGCAAACAGGAUUAGAUACCCUGGUAGUCCACGCCGUAAACGAUGUCAACUAGCCGUUGGAAGCCUUGAGCUUUUAGUGGCGCAGCUAACGCAUUAAGUUGACCGCCUGGAGAGUACGGCCGCAAGGUUAAAACUCAAAUGAAUUGACGGGGGCCCGCACAAGCGGUGGAGCAUGUGGUUUUAUUUCGAAGCAACGCGAAGAACCUUACCAGGCCUUUGACAUCCAAUGAACUUUCCAGAGAUGGAUUGGUGCCUUCGGGAACAUUGAAACAGGUGCUGCAUGGCUGUCCUCACCUCCUGGCCG